rnacentral:rRNA from 1 species
UACGAGAGGUGACAGCUGUUGGUGAUUCAUUGGGCGUAAAGGGUGCGUAGGCGGCGCGGUAAGUCGGGUGUGAAAUCUCGGAGCUUAACUCCGAAACUGCAUUCGAUACUGCCGUGCUUGAGGACUGGAGAGGAGACUGGAAUUUACGGUGUAGCGGUGAAAUGCGUAGAUAUCGUAAGGAACACCAGUGGCGAAGGCGGCUCACUGGCCCGAUACUGACGCUGAGGCACGAAAGCGUGGGGAGCAAACAGG